UACGUAGGCAGCGAGCGUUGUUCGGAAUUACUGGGCGUAAAGAGUGUGUAGGCGGUGCUCUAAGUUCGGUGUGAAAUCUUCCGGCUUAACUGGGAGGGUGCGCCGGAAACUGGAGUGCUCGAGCGUGGGAGAGGAAAGCGGAAUUCCUGGUGUAGCGGUGAAAUGCGUAGAUAUCAGGAGGAACACCUGCGGUGUAGACGGCUUUCUGGACCAUUGUUGACGCUGAGACACGAAAGCGUGGGUAGCAAACAGG
rnacentral:rRNA from 1 species